UACGAAGGGGGCUAGCGUUGUUCGGAAUUACUGGGCGUAAAGCGCGUGUAGGCGGUUGUUCAAGUCGGGUGUGAAAGCCUUGAGCUCAACUCAAGAGAUGCACUCGAUACUGGAUGACUUGAGGACCGGAGAGGAUAGUGGAAUUCCCAGUGUAGUGGUGAAAUACGUAGAGAUUGGGAAGAACACCAGUGGCGAAGGCGGCUAUCUGGACGGUUUCUGACGCUAAGACGCGAAAGCGUGGGGAGCGAACAGG
rnacentral:rRNA from 1 species